GGUCUCCCAAUUCUUACCACAGGCUGUGUUCUUUACAGACUGUGUAGAAAGAGAAGAUACAGUAAAUGCAACUCAUAUACACCUCAACCCAGGCUCUUUACCUGGUCUGUAUUGUAAAUUGGGGGACAAAA